rnacentral:lncRNA from 1 species
AUGACUUUGAAGCUUCAAAAUUGCUCACACAGCCCAAAACUUCAGAGGAAUCAGUGGGAGGUCGGCAGAAGAGCAGGGCUUGAGCUGUCUCCAAGUGCACAGUUUCUAAAAUGGUCAGAUCUGAAGUACUCACUUUACCUUCCCUUGCACCUCUCAGGACAGCACCAUUAACCAGUGGAAACAGAUGAGGAAAAGAGGGCAGAGAAUUCAUACAAGAAGCUGACACAAAAGGCAGAACUGUGGGGACAGAAGGCACAAGUGAAAUUCAACAAUAUACACCUUUAUAUAGAAACAUUUAUCUCCCUGAGAAGGGUUUGACUUUCUGCUAGUGGAAAUAAUUCUUUCUACUUUUUAUUUUGUUCUUUAAAAAAGUAGAUGAAUAAAAAAAGCAGC